rnacentral:rRNA from 1 species
CAGAGGGUGCAAGCGUUGUUCGGAAUUACUGGGCGUAAAGCGCGCGCAGGCGGAAGUGCAAGUCUCGAGUGAAAUCCCGCCGCUCAACGGCGGGGCUGCUUAGGAUACUGCACCUCUAGGGACCGGUAGAGGCUGGUAGAAUUGCAGGUGUAGCGGUGGAAUGCGUAGAGAUCUGCAAGAAUACCCGUGGCGAAGGCGGCCAGCUGGGCCGGAUCCGACGCUGAGGCGCGAAAGCGUGGGGAGCAAACAGGAUUAGAUACCCUGGUAGUCCACGCCGUAAACGAUGGGCACUAGGUGCCGGGGGAGCGACCCCGUCGGUGCCGCAGCUAACGCGAUAAGUGCCCCGCCUGGGGAGUACGGCCGCAAGGCUG